CCAUCCAUGUUGCUGCAAAUGGCAUUAUUUUGUUCUUUGUUAUGGCGGAGUGAACCCAGACUGUAUUGAGAUGAGUCACAAUUAGCUCCGCAAACCCCUGUUCAGCCCACAGGCUAAAUUAUGUCUCCCACCCCCCAUAUCCAUAUGUUGAGGUCUUAACCUCCAGUACCUUACAUUCUGCCUUUAUUUAGAGAUAGGGUCUUCCUAGAAGGGAUUACGUUAAAUGAGGUCAUUAGGGUGGGUCCCAAUCCAAUAUGGCGGCUGUCCUUAUAGGAGGGAAUUUGCUACAGGCAUGCACAGAAGGAGAUGAUAUGAAGAUGAGGGAGACGAUGGCCAUCUAAAGACGAAGGAGAGAGGCCUUGUGUUAGUCAGAGUUCUCCAGAGAACCAGUAGGAGCCGGACCUUAUCAUAAGUUCGAACAGAACUUAGAAGGAGUUGGCUCAUGUGAUUAUGGAGGCUGAGAAGUGGCAUGAACUUCUGUCUGUAAAUGGGAGACCCAGGAUAACUGAAGGUAUCAAUUCCAAUCGGAGUCUGAAGGCCUAAUCACCAGGAGUGCUGUUGGGAAUUAUGAUGGUGACCACAGGGACUGUCUCCCAGCUGUUGUGUAAGAUGUUGAUCCCACCUCAAGCACACCUCAAGCACUAGAAGUACGAUUGCUGGGCAAAUAUAUCUAGAAGGGUGACCUCCGUGAAACUGCAUUAAUUUGUUAAGCAAAGCAGUACAUUCCGAAGCAAAAUGGAAUCUAGGACUCUUGUUCCCCUGUUCCCAGGCUGGAAAAUUCUUCUUUCUGACCUGCCUGCACAGACCACAACAGUUUCUGUUUUCCUGACUGAACCCUGGCUCGUAGAGUGGAUGUUCAAGAGGAAGCAGUGACCUACGUGCUCAGGGAUUUUGACUGAGGAGGGCUGCUUGAGGACAGCCCUUCCCGGGCAUAUGUAGGGACGUGUGUGAAGGCAUGUGGAUGUCCAGGUCACUCAGGAGCUGUCCUCUUGCUCCUUUACCGCCCCUGCCCAACCAGUCCCUGCUUUGCCUGUGCCCUUCUCAUGUGACUACCCAGCCCUCUUAAUCAUGGAACUUAAUCAGUAACUGCCAGUGUGCUUGCCCCCUGCCCCAGCUAGUGAUUGUUCUAAUCUAGCUCCACCUGCUAGUUCAUUAAAGGAAACAUCUGCCCUCAUAUUGGUUGGUAACCGAAGGGGUUGAGAGGGAUAUGCCCCAGCUGCUUGUUUCCCUGGUAACGGAUGAGCCAACCUGACAUCAAUUCCCUCUAUAAAUGGUAAGCCCCUCCUUUGGGUCCCCUUCCCCUGUAAAUAAACCAAGAAACCAUUAAACUGUU